GGGAGAUGAAGAAAGAGGACAAAACAGAGAUGGAACAAGAGCAGCUCAUCAGUUUGAUCCCUCUGUAGAUGCUACAGCUCUGCACAUCCUUCUUGUUCUUGAAGAUCAGCACCAGCACACUUCUCCAUCCCUCAGCAAUCCUCUCACUCUCCAAGACUGUGUUAAAAAGCCCACUGCCCUCUCUCCUAGACACCUCCACGCCUCCACAGGCAGCUUUGGCUCAGGUGGUAGAACAGGUUGCCUAGCAAAUGGAAGGUCAGUGGAUCGAUCCCCAGCUCUUCAACUUAUCUUUUGGCUAAACCCCAAAUUACCACCGAUCUAUCACUGCGUGUGUGUGUUCAAUAAAAGUGCUUAUAUUAAAACAGCACCAUGUGAAUAUGUGUGUUUUUGGGUGAAUGAGACUUUUAGUAGAAAGCACUUGCUCAAAUUGAGUAUAAAAGUGUUAUAUAAGUGGCAGUCCAUUUACAAUUGCUUUUCUUCA